CGUCAGGCGACUGUCUUUACUCCCUCUCUUGCUCCAAGGCUCAAGGCCACCUUUGCGUGGCGGGGCUCCGAGCCACUUCCUUGCUUGAGUAUCGAGGAAACUUUUGCUCUUGGAAUUCAAGUCCAUCUUUGCAAGCCAGCUGCAAAGUCACCUUUGCUCGCUGGUUCAAGGCCACUUUAAGGUACGGAGUCCAAGGCAACUACUCCUCGUGCUCAGAGUUCAAGGACACUUUUCUGCCUGGAAUUCGGGACUCAGAAGACUCUAGUCGGAGGUCGCCAGUUGGUGACCUCUGGCUAAGAGCAGGAAAGUUCUUGCUGGCUCUUCACGGAGUCCGUGCAGGGUGGCGUUUGUUUCUUAAAGCCACAGAACUUAAUUGCCUCAGCUCCACCUGUGGACGAAGGUGGGGAGAGCUGCUUGGGAGUCCAGAGUUCAUAGACAGAGCUUCUAGGUUCCGGCAGGCAAGAUGUAGGAGGAGAAAGAGAUCCUGAAAUCCCCUAAAGGGGAGGAAAUACUGAAAGCCAAGCCUCUUCUCCAGGAAUCGGAGCUCUGGACUUUAUGUCUUCGGACCUUUGCCAUCAGGAUGUUGUGCAUGAGAUUCUUUCUUGAAAAUUGUGUCCGAAUGAAAGUGCAAGAAGCCGCAGGAAGGCAGAUGAGCUGGGUUGGUGCUGUAACUCCUUCCCUGCUUCCCUGCACGAUACUCACCAGUCGGUCUGUUUGCUUCAACACAGACUGAAACCGAACAAUCAAGACCUAGGAAAGGAUUGUCUUCAGAGCAGUUGCCAGGAGUGAG